rnacentral:lncRNA from 1 species
UUAAAUCAUAAUAUAAAGAAUAUUUGUCUUAAUCACAAAUAAGAUCAUUAUAAACUUCGACUAAUUUUUACAUGCGAAAAGAUCAAUUUAUUUGCAUAUUGAUUACAAUUAUUAGAGUCUAUAAAGAUUCAUCUCAUGUUCUAUAUAUUUCUUUUUAAAUUAUAUAAGAUAGUGAAUAUAUCAAGAAAAAUAACCAUGUUACAUCUUUCUAUAAAAAUUGAUAAUAAUAAAAAAAUUGAAGUAGAAAAAGUCUUAGAUCUAAGGAAGUGCAUAAAUAGAUUAGAAUAUCUUGUACAUUGGCAUAGAUAUGAUAUUAAUGAAUACUCAUGAAAGCCACAUAAGAAUCUUGUAAACAAAGCAAAGAAAGUUGAUGUUUUUUAUGGACAACAACUAUCAAAAUCAUAAUAAAGAGGCUCAAAAUUAUUUUUUAUAAAUCAAAGUACAUCCAAUAAAGAUUACAUUCUAUCUUUUAUUCAUAUUUGUAAUUAUUUUAUAUUUGUAGUAUUGAUAAGAUGGAGAAUCAAAAAUCAAAAAAUUUAAUUUAAGAAUUAUUCUAUGUAGAGUCAUUAAAUAAGCCAUUGAGAUUGUCAUAGCCUUUAAGAUGACCUAAUAGAAAUGAAGACCGUCAAGAACAACAUGUCUUGUUGGAAUUGAUAGCAAGACACAACAAAUUAGGUCUUACAAUCUUAGAAGAGAUGCUUUAUAUUUGGUGAUAUUAUUGGAGGUAGAAAUCAAUCUUAAUGGUGUUUUAAAUGAUUUAUUUGAAGAAAGUAAUAAAAUCCUUAACAAUUAUCUAAUAAAAAGUGUUCUCUUUUUUUUAAUAUAUGACACUAUUGAUAGUUGAAAGGACUUAUCAAUUACUUGUAAAGUGAACAAAGAUCAUAGUAUAUAGAAACUAUAAUUUGCCACAUUUUAAACAUUUUCAACAUGUAACUACUACUCUUUAUGGAACUUAUUUCUAUAAGAGAAGAUAAAGCUAUGAACAAAUUUAUACUAUAAUAUUAAAAAGAGUUAUGUAGAAGUAAAUAGGAGUAUAAAAUUUUAAUGAUAUUUUAUAAAAAAACUUCUUAAAAACUUUAUAAACAUGGAUUUGACUUCCCAAAUGUUGUAAGUGAUUAAUAGAUUGAUAACUUAGACAACAAGUUAUGCAUGUAGCACACAUAUUAGAAACUUGUCUUGCAAUUAGAAGCAUAUGCCUCAAAUUAAUUUAUAAAACAUUUGAAUUUAUUUCAGUAGUACAAACAUGUUGCUAAUUAAUAUUUAUAGUGAUCGUAAGACUUUACACAAUCAUUAAAAUAUAAUUCAUAGUAUAAAUUUAACAAAGAAAAUAUUACAUUUUGC